rnacentral:rRNA from 1 species
GAUGAACGCUGGCGGCGUGCUUAACACAUGCAAGUCGAACGGAAAGGCUCCUGCUUGCAGGGGUACUCGAGUGGCGAACGGGUGAGUAACACGUGGGUGAUCUGCCCUGCACUUCGGGAUAAGCCUGGGAAACUGGGUCUAAUACCGGAUAGGACGAUGGUUUGGAUGCCAUUGUGGAAAGUUUUUUCGGUGUGGGAUGAGCUCGCGGCCUAUCAGCUUGUUGGUGGGGUAAUGGCCUACCAAGGCGUCGACGGGUAGCCGGCCCGAGAGGGUGUACGGCCACAUUGGGACUGAGAUACGGCCCAGACUCCUACGGGAGGCAGCAGUGGGGAAUAUUGCACAAUGGGCGCAAGCAUGAUGCAGCGACGCAGCGUGGGGGAUGACGGCAUUCGGGUUGUAAACUCCUUUCGCUAGGGACGAAGCGCAAGUGACGGUACCUGGAGAAGAAGCACCGGCUAACUACGUG